AUUGAACGCUGGCGGCGGGCUUAACACAUGCAAGUCGAACGGUAAGGCCCUUCGGGGUACACGAGUGGCGAACGGGUGAGUAACACGUGGGUGAUCUGCCCUGCACUUCGGGAUAAGACUGGGAAACUGGGUCUAAUACCGGAUAGGACCAAUGCCUGCAUGGGUGGUGGUGGAAAGCUUUUGCGGUGUGGGAUGGGCCCGCGGCCUAUCAGCUUGUUGGUGGGGUGAUGGCCUACCAAGGCGACGACGGGUAGCCGGCCUGAGAGGGUGACCGGCCACACUGGGACUGAGAUACGGCCCAGACUCCUACGGGAGGCAGCAGUGGGGAAUAUUGCACAAUGGGCGCAAGCCUGAUGCAGCGACGCCGCGUGAGGGAUGACGGCCUUCGGGUUGUAAACCUCUUUCAGCACCGACGAAGCGCAAGUGACGGUAGGUGCAGAAGAAGGACCGGCCAACUACGUGCCAGCCGCCGCCGUAA
rnacentral:rRNA from 1 species